UUUGUUCAUUUCCAAGUCUUUGUCAGUUUUUGCUGACACCACAAACCCUCCUCUGGUUUCCCUGGUGACAGGGCUGCCUGACUCUCUCCCUUCUGUUUCUGGUCUGUCCUUACGGUGUAAGCUCCAUGUCCAUCUUCCCUCUGGGCUCUUCCCUUUGGUUCCAAAGAGCUUAUUGUAGAAGUAAAAAAAAAAAACAUACAGUAAAGAGAUUAGCAUAAUCCUAAUUAUCCUCUAGGCAAUGCACAAAAGAAAAAACAUAAGGAUAAACAUAUUGAGAUUUGCUCUUGCUCCAGCACAAUUCCCUGAAAGACUUCUUCUAAGCCUGGUAUCCUGGGAGUGGCAGUGUUUUCAGCGUGGCAGACGGAGCAGCCAGGAAGCUGGGAGCCCAAACAGCAUGAGACAAAGCCACAAAACAGAGGCCGUGCAUCUGUCGGUUGCCUCUCUCUGGUCACCCUCCUCUAGCCACAUAGUGCCGGUGCUAUGUGCCAGACAUACUCCAAUGAACAAGAUCCCUAGAGUCUCUGCUCUACUUUGACUUAAAUCCUCAGGGAAGGGGCAGAACUAAAGAUGGAGCCCAUUCCUGAUGGGCUGUGGGCCGCCUAUGGAGACUAGCACUCCUAUUUACUUAUCUUUGGAGCCUCCCAGGAGGAAUAAAACAACAGAACUGGAGACCUGUUCAUGUGUUUUGGCCUUCCUGCCCAGGAUGAGUGGGUAAAGGUCUGGGUCAAGGGUAAUGGAAGUUUCCAAAUGGAAAAGUGACUAAUGCCAGGAAAAAACAAUCCCAGACUUCUGCUGACCUAUGGUUUGGUGGCCACUGUCCCUGCAUAUCAGUAAUUGGAAAGACAAUUACAGGACACUCCCAGAAUACCAAUGAUUGACAGGUGGCAGCUCCUAGGUCUGCAGGGUCUUUACAUGGACCCUGAAGAAAAACCUUUUAAAAGAAGUCACAUGGAAGUCUAAUGUCUGAGUGUACCCUGAGCAAUAGAGCCUGUCACUGCCCUGUUUCCUUAGAUGGUGCAGUAGUGGCCUGGAACUGAAUCUGCAGUAUCUCCAAGGUCACCAACAAUGAAGAUGCCAGUUUCCCCAAGACAAACCUCAAGGGAGACCCUGUGGAGCAUCAGAUAAAAGUCACCAGGAAACCCAGAAUGGCAGGUUCUGUCUCAUUUCCUCAGAGCACAAGUGAAGCAAUCUUGCAGGCAGAGAGGGGAUGCUGUUUGAGGGAGGCCAUGCUACCCCCUCCUGCUUUGACGGGAAAGGGGUUGGGGGCCUUGUGCUUCCCCAUGAACAGUGGACAUUCCAAAGCUGGCCGGAGUGUCUGCUUCCUGCCAGGAUCCUAAAUGCAAGCUGGUGGCUCACACAGACAUCCUGAAGGAGUGGGAUGCAAUAGCCGUGGAGAGGGUGGUGGAGAGAGAGGUCAGUGCCCAGGGACGCCUGAGUUCCCACCAGUUGGACUGGCAGGGUUGCUGCAGUCGGCCGCACAAUUGUGUCCAAUAUUUCAUCUCUUCUAUAUCCACGCCCUUUGCGGGGGGGACUUUGGGGUUAUUUCUGCUAGAGGUGGGGUCUCUUCCCAUAUCCCAUUGAUGUGGGCAAGGCCAUGUGAUUUGCUUUAGCCAAUGGGAUGUGGGUGAGGGUAACGGGCUGAGUCCUGAGCUUGGAGAAGCAUCGUGUGCGUGCAGGUGUCCGUGUGCACAGGUGCAUGUGCAUGUGUGUGUUUUCACUCACUCCUUCUGCCUUUGCCUAGAGAAGGGCUGGGUUGGCUGGAGAGCCUGCCUUUCCAGGAAAGUGAAAGACACAUGAGCCACAACCACAGCAGCCACCUAGCAGACCUGCAACCUGAGGCAAGGCCACCUAGUUGGCUUGCAGAAUUGAAUAGUAAAUGCUUGUUAUUGUAAGCCACUGAGUUCGGGGGUAGUUUGUUAUGCAACACUGUUGUGGCAAGAGAUAACUGAUACGAUAAUCUGUAAGGGCCUGGAUGAGCCAUAGAAUUUAGUAGGGACAGGGCUGGCUCACCAUGCCACCAUACUUCCUGGUGGAGUCAAGACUAGCAUCUCCAGGAAAGGAAGGGCAUUCCCGUGGUUUGAUUACCCAGGCCAGCAAGCUGCAUGGAAGUCCCUCCUGAGGGCCCAGAGGCCGUGGAAUAUGCCGCCACAGAUGCAGCAGCUAAUGUGCCCAGGUCAAGUCAUACACUCCUUGCUGUGGUGCAGUGGGCAGCAUGAAGGUCCCUAUUGCUUGAGAACAGAGUGUGUAUCCAACGACAGGCUUUGAACCAGACAGUCAUCCAUUUAAAAAAUAUUUAUUGAGCACCUACUAUGAGCCAGGAACCCUUCUAGGUGCUGUGAAUACAGUGGUAAAUCAAAUCAGUUUAUCCUUGCCCUCUUGCAGCUUAUGUUCUAAUAACUGAUAAUAAUAAUAAUAAUACUUGCAUUAGAUUGAAUGUUUAUCUGAGAUGUGACUAAGUCUUAAAACAGAAGUGACUGGAGAAAUUACUAGACAGGACUGUGUGAACUGCAUUGGGCUAAAUAUAAUUUUCUUACUGUCAGCUGGGAUAAGAGGCUUGUUAAAAUAAAUUAUAGGCAGUAUAAAACUGAAGUGAGCUUAUGUGCUCACAAAUAUAACUUGUGACUGUCCUGUACUGACUGUUACACCGGAAGUACAUCCUGCUUCCCUGACUGUUCUCUCUGCUUUUCUGCUCUUUGCUGAGGGCUGCCUUCCUCUAAAGAUACCACUUCACCUGCCCUCACUGUGGGGAGCUGCGCGUUUCACCAUGUGCUAGACAACAUUCUCCUGGCUGCAUGUGCUCUAUCUUUACUCCUACAUCCUUGUGUAAUAGCCUUUCUGAGGCUCAUGCCUCUCGGUGGCUCCACCACCCUCUGUCUCUUCUCCUGGCUGAGUUUUCUCAACCUCCUGGGUCCUCCUCCACAUUCCUGAAGCUCCUGACUCAUGGGCUUCCUUGCCAGAUUCAGUCCUACCAUUAUCUUGAAGGACUUUGAUGCCUGUGAGGCAGGCCUGUCCAGUCUGUGAACCCCCCAAAUCUGAGACAGAUCUCAGUUAAUUAAAAAGUUUAUUUUGCCCAAGUUGAGGACGUGCGCCCAUGACAUAGCCUCAGGAGGUCCUGAUGACAUGUACUCAAUGUGGUCAGAGCACAUUUAGCUUUAUACAUUUUAGGGAAACAGGAGACAUCAAUCAACAUAUGUAAGAUGAUCAUUGGUUUGGUCCAGAAAAGGCAGGACAACUGGAAGUGGGGAGGGGGCUUCCAGGUCAUAGGUGGAUAAGAGACAAGUGGUUGCAUUUUCUUGAGUUUCUGGUUAACUUUUCCAAAAGAGGCAAUCAGUUAUGCAUUAAUCUCAGUGAGCAGAAGGGUGACUUUGAAUAGAAUGGAAGGAAGGUUUGCCCCAGCAGGUUCCAGCUUAACUUUUCCCUUUAGCUUAGUGAUUUUGGGCCCCAAGAUUUAUUUUCCUUUCACAAGUACUUUCUUCUCUUACUUCACUGGCUUUCUCAAAUCCAGUGAUCUGCCUUCUUCAACUGCCCACUCCCAUCACUAAAUCAUGAAUGAUGACUCCCUCCCUCCAUCCUUCCCUCCUCCUCUCCCUCCCUCCCUCCUCCUCUCCCUCCCUCCCUCUCCCUCCCUUUCCUCCCUCCUUCCCUCUUUGUUACUUUCUCUUCUUCUUUCCCUUCCUUCCUUCCAUAUCUAUUAACUAUAUGCCAGGCCCUACCCUGGGCUUUGUGGAUUGAAUAGAGGUAAAAAUAGACUGUCUUAGUCUAUUCAAGCUGUUACAAUAGAAUGCCCUAGACCAGUUGACUUAUAAACAACAAUAUUUUUUUCUCACAGUUUCAGAGACUGGCAAGUCCAAGAUCAUGGCACCAACAGAUUCAAUGUCUGGUGAAGGCCUGCUUUCUGGUUUAUAGAUAGUGCCUUCUAGCUAUGUCCUCACAGGGUAGAAGGGGCAAGGUCUCUUAUGAGGACACUAAUCCUGUUCAUGAGGGCUCUACUCUCAUGACCUAAUCACCUCCCCCAAACCCCAUCUCCUAAUAUCAUCACCUUGGGGGUUAAGAUUUCAACAUAUGAAUUUGGGGAAGGGGACACAAACAUUAGACCAUAGCAUAGACACAGUCCUGCCCUCAAGAAGUGUAGAGUCAGUUCCAUCUCUGACCUCUACUGAUCUGUCUCUGACUACAAUUUUUUUUCUUUCAGUUGUCUUGCUCCUUUCCUCCUAGGACAUCCAUACACUGAACUGAGGUUCUGAGAUCUCUCUUGAAUUUAUUCUACAUGCAAGAACUAAGAAGAAAGAGGGGAAGAAAGAGCUAACAUAUAUUAAACACCAGCUUUGGAUUAGAUGUUUUACAAGUGGCAUGUACUUUAAUCCUUGGCACAAUCCUAUGGUACGUUUGAUUAUUCUUGUUUUAUAGAUAAGAGGAUCAGAGAGGUCACGGGUCCCACCUAAGUCCAUCCAGCUAGUAAAUUGCAUGCUGAGAUUUAGACCUAGGUCUAUUUGUUUGCGAUAAUCUUCUGUAAUAACCUAAAAUUGAACUUCUUGCUUAUCCUCCUGUUUGUUUUCUUUUGUCACAGAAAGUGCUCCAGGUGCCUGUGGUCCAUAGAGUGGAGUGAGUCUCUAAGCAAAUCUGGAGGGACUCUGGGAGCUCAAGAUUCAGAAUAUCUCCACUUACUCUUGCCGCAGCCUUUGCUGUUCAACUGUUGGGUGCCAUGAUCGUAUGAGCUGCUCCCUUCCUCAGCCUUUCCUGGCUCCUUCCAUGAGCCCACCGAUCUGUGGCAGUGUUUUAACAGCCUUGGUCCAUCUAUUUGUAGAGGUGUUAGCAUGAGACACACAAGGAUCUGGAAACUUUGAAGGAGACUGAUACCACAAUGCAGGAACCCUAUAAGGAUUCCAGGGAGGUAACACACACCAAGGGAUCGGCAUUUACUUUAUCACUCUUCCUCUUCUUUUUCUCAAUCAAUGAGAUUUGUAGACAUUAUCUCAUUUUAAAUAUUUAUAUAUAUUGAUAUGGCACCAUGGCCCCAUGAGGUUGAUAUUAUCAUCCCCUGCCCUCUUUUUUUCUAGCAAUACAUCGGAGCAUCAGACUUUAAGUCAAUGAUUUGAACCCAGUUCUUCUUGGCUUCAAAGCCUUGGGGCACAAUCACUCCAUUGGACCACUAGGUACCUGCAACUCUCUGCUUUGGACUUCUCCUGAGCUACAAACCCCAGGUGUUAUUAGAGCACCAUCAGUGAUAGAUUUUCAUGUAUAUGCAUGUGUUUCUACCCAGCAGUGCAAUUAAUGAGCCCUUAAGGGUAUGUGUGUAGAUGACAUGUUCUUUACUCCCUAGGAACAAUGUAGAAAGCCACCAGGACACCAAAUUUCAAUGUCUUUGCAAAGGACUAGGCCACAACCUCAUUGGAGAUUUUUUUUUUUUCCAUUUUUUCCCUUUUUUUCUUAUGGUCACAUUCAUGCUAUGGU